rnacentral:rRNA from 1 species
AUACGGAGGGUGCGAGCGUUAAUCGGAAUUACUGGGCGUAAAGCGCGCGUAGGCGGUUUGUUAAGUCGGAUGUGAAAUCCCCGGGCUCAACCUGGGGCCUGCAUCCGAUACUGGCAGGCUAGAGUCUGGUAGAGGGGGGUAGAAUUCCUGGUGUAGCGGUGAAAUGCGUAGAUAUCAGGAGGAAUACCAGUGGCGAAGGCGGCCCCCUGGACUGAGACUGACGCUGAGGUGCGAAAGCGUGGGGAGCAAACCGGAUUAGAAACCCCAGUAGUCC